GGCAGACGGCAAACAGCCCACACGGCCACGCAGCACAUGCCCCCGAAAAAAAGGGAUUCUCCGUCAGCGAGACCAGUGGCAGACGGCAAAACAGCCCAGUCCACUGGUAGUAUAGCCCAACCCGGUUGGACGCGACGAAAAAAAACAAAACAGAUCGCAGCGCCAGCCCCUCCCCUCGACCCGCACCACCAGAAUAGAGAGCGCUGCUAGGGUUCCAGCGCCGCCGGCGCCGUUCUCCAGCGCCGCCGCCGCCCCCUCCUACACCGCGCCCCCAACCCCUCCUCUAAUGGCCGCACCGUUGCCGGAAUCUCCUCCCGUGCCCUAGCGCCGCCGCGCCGGCACCACCGCUGCCGGGAACCACCUCCACCGCCGCAGGACAGCACCGCUACAGGGCACCACCUUCGCCGCUGCUGGACUGCAAAGGAGAGGCAGUUGCACGGCCGCCGGACACCAUCUCCCCCUCUGCCCCAUCUGCCCCCACGGGAUCAAUCUUUUCACCUCCAGGAGCACUGUUGGUCCUGUUGCCGUUGCCAUCGCCGUCUACUACCUCCUCUACGGAUCAUCUAGGGGUGAGUGAAGCAUGGUGGGCUUGCAUCGGAAAAGGGGUAACCCGGCAAAUAAGGCCCCACUUCCCCUAGCGAGAAAUUUGAUUGACAGUUUUCUCGCCGAUCCUCCUCAGGCUUCUUCUCAGGCUCAUCGAGUAAAAGGAAGAGGUCGGGGAAGAGCUGGAGGAAAGGCUAGGAGAAACCCGGUUCGGCCUCCCUCGCCACCACCUGUCGUGACACCACUUGAGGAUGAGGGGGUGGAGGACGAGCCGGUGUCUCAAUCCCCCAUGUCUGAGGAGGAGAGGGUGGAUGAGCGGUUGUCGCCGGAGGAGGAUGAGGAUCGGUCAGGGGCCCUGACCACCGACGAGGAGAAUGAUGGUUUUAUCCAAGUUGAGGAGGGUCGAACCGUGUACAUGCGUGGUUCGUCAAGGCUCCCAGAACGAGGGCUUCCUGUCGAGCAGAGGCCAUGUAUUGCUCCAUAUGGAGAAAGCGGUUGGACGACAGUUGGAGAUUCCCACGGUAAGAAGCACCGGCUCAUGAAUGGCAUCCUUGGGAUCCUCUUGAGGGAGCAUUACCCUGGCAUGGUUACUUUGCCUGGGGAGGGCAAUGUUCCGGAACCAGCACGGACUUGGUACCACUACGUAGCCUAUGAGGAUCUUGGUGUAGCCAACAACAUCGAGUUUCACAACAAAGCGGAGCGGGUCUUUGCCGAACUUUGGGAUUUCUAUAGAUGCGAGGAUGGGAACUUGGAGGAGGCACGAGCAAUCGUCAACCACCAUUGUAAGAGCUUGUGCGCAAUCUGAUGCAUGAGGCGCGCCCUUUAGCCGUCCGCAGGUAUAAGGUUACUCCGAGAUGGUGUGUCGACAAGGGGGAGUGCUGGGAGCGGAUCGUGGACUACUGGUGUUCCGAAGAGUAUAGGGAGAAAAACCUAGAUUAUAAAAAUCGGCGAGCCGCAAUGGAGGAUCCACCACACCAUCAAGGCAACUUGAACCUUAAUGGGUUCGGCCAACGUUGGGCGUCUCAUAAUAAGGCUCUGGAGCCCAACCUUUUUGUGGCGUACGCUUUGGCCCAUAAGGGAUCGUUCCGAUCUGCCACGCCUUACGAUGAGAAUGCACAUUGCCUGCCUACACCAGCAAGACCGCCUAUGAUCGAAUGGACAAAUUUAAAAGGAAGGUAAAAGAGAUGAGAGGGCCUGAGUAUGAUGUGACAUCGGAGCCCCUUGACCACGAGGUGGUUAGGAUCUCUGGAGGUGGUAGGAAACAUGGCAAUGAAGCGAUUGGAGGUGGCAUGUUUCCUAGGUCCUCCCAUCGCACUCUCCCCGAGUACAAAGCUCGGUCAGGUAUCUCAACAUCUUCUAUAUGUCAACGCUCGACUCCAGCAAUGGUUGCGAUGGAGUCUCGACUGGAGGAGCAGAGGCGACUGCUAGAUGAGAAGUUGGAGGAGAGGUUGGCGGAGGAGAGGCGACUGGCGGAUGAGAAGAGGGCGGAGGAGAGGCGACUAGCGGAUGAGAGGAUGCAACAGUACUUUGCAAUGUUUGCGGCUUAUUGUACCCAGAAUGGUAUGCCCGCUAUGCAGAUGCCUGACAUUGCUUCACCCCCUAUGCAUCAAUCAGGCCAUGGGUCAAAUAAUGAUGGAUCUUCACAUGCACCAGGCCCAAAUGCCAAUGACCAUGGUGGUUCUCCGAAUCUUUGAGAUCGAGUAUGGUUGCCACACAGAUGCUCUUUGGACUAUGAUAUGGACAUGAAGAUAUUUGUUGUAGUGCCAAAUUUUACGUACCGAUGCCUGCUUUGUUCAUUUGCUAUGGAAAACUUUGUACUCUUGCUAUGGAAAACUUUGUACUCUCAUAUUUGCUAUGGACUAGCUCGCUAUGGGCAUUUGGUAUACUCUGUGUGGUAUUUGAUAUGAAUGUGUUAUGGAAUAGUGCUAUGAACUGUGUCAUAUUUGCUAUGGAACAGUGCUAUGAAUUGUGUCAUCUGUGCCAAAUUAUGAUAUAUAUUGUGUAUACAAACUGCCAAAUUAUGAUAUAUAUUGUGUAUACAAACUGUGCCAAUUUAUGAUA